UGGGGAAUCUUGGACAAUGGGGGGAACCCUGAUCCAGCCAUGCCGCGUGUGUGAAGAAGGCCUUAUGGUUGUAAAGCACUUUAAGCGAGGAGGAGGGUACUGGUAUUAAUACUACCAGGUACUGGACGUUACUCGCAGAAUAAGCACCGGCUAACUCUGUGCCAGCAGCCGCGGUAAUACAGAGGGUGCGAGCGUUAAUCGGAUUUACUGGGCGUAAAGCGUGCGUAGGCGGCUAAUUGAGUCGGAUGUGAAAUCCCCGAGCUUAACUUGGGAAUUGCAUUCGAUACUGGUUAGCUAGAGUGUGGGAGAGGAUAGUAGAAUUCCAGGUGUAGCGGAGAAAUGCGUAGAGAUCUGGAGGAAUACCGAUGGCGAAGGCAGCCAUCUGGCCUAACACUGACGCUGAGGUACGAAAGCAUGGGGAGCAAACAGG
rnacentral:rRNA from 1 species